rnacentral:misc_RNA from 1 species
AUUGUCAUCUGUUGAAUUUCACUCUCAAUAAUGAAAUUAUAUUGCCUGGGGAUGCAAGCAAGUCCCGCCCAUUUUGAAUCAACGAUGUCGUCAAUUGCACCAGCUGAACGUACUUGCGUCAUUUUCAGAAUUCAAGUGUCAUCUCCGCUGACGUUAGACAACAUUAUCCGUGGAAGAUCAAAGAAUUUGAGCUUCCGAGAAACGGUCGUAGGAGUAGAGUCGUAAAUCAGCCCCAACCCACAAUAGUAAGGUGACAUCAAAGGCGCGUAGAGCCACGUUCGCAUUUGCGCCCGAGCAACACAAGACACCGAACCUUUGUACUCGCUGCCUGGAUUUAAAUCUUGGAGAUACCAGUCCUGAGAAUUGCUGUUUUCGUAAGUAUGUUUCAAACAAAAGAGAAUAAAAAGUAUUUCUCUUACAA